rnacentral:rRNA from 1 species
UACGGAGGGUGCAAGCGUUAUCCGGAUUCACUGGGUUUAAAGGGUGCGUAGGUGGGCAAGUAAGUCAGUGGUGAAAUCUCCGGGCCUAACCCGGAAACUGCCAUUGAUACUAUUUGUCUUGAAUACUGUGGAGGUCAGCGGAAUAUGUCAUGUAGCGGUGAAAUGCUUAGAUAUGACAUAGAACACCAAUUGCGAAGGCAGCUGGCUACACAAAUAUUGACAUUGAGGCACGAAAGCGUGGGGAUCAAACAGG